rnacentral:lncRNA from 1 species
CUAAGACUCAGAAAGCAUUUGCACCUGGAAGGGCCUGAUGAUCCUAUUCCCAAUUAGGUGUAUCAGGUAACCAUCAAACCUUGAUAUACCAAGUCUACAAACUUAACAUUGAUAUUACUCACAUAUUUCACUGGUCAUAUCUAUACAGAAACAAAAUUUUAGGAGGAAAUAAAACUCAAAAAAAAAUUGUGCUGUGCUGCUUUAUCUAACUUAUGUGAGAAAGAGAUUACUACACCAGAGAGAUAUUGCUGAUAAACUGAAAAGGUUCUUCAGAACUAAGCUCCAAUCUUUUCAAUAUUAAGUCAAUGAGUAGCCAGGAAUCCAGAGCAAGUAUGUUUCUCAGCCUCUUUCCUCUCAGUUAGCAGGAAGAAAGUCUCUCAGUUCCCAACUGCCUUCUCAUCCAAUUCUAUUAGAAUCUUCCUUCCUUACGGUUGAUUGACAGUUCCUUCAAAAUUCCAUCUCUUGCAUUUGCUUGCCAAUAUCUCUCUGGUGUAGUAAUUUCUUUCUCACAAUUAGACAUGGUUUUAUCCUUGUUUCUCCUUUUAUUUCUGUUGCCUUUUAGUGAGUCUCACUUACUCCUACCCUGUCCACCCAAAUCUUCCUUCUUUCUACCUGCAUCCAGUGAAUUGAUCUGAAUCUGACUACACUGUUGUGAGUGAAAUUUAACACAAAGGUAAAAUGAGGCACAUUUCUCCAGGCAAGAUAAUGGUUUGUUACCAAAGUGUCAUACCUAUUGAUGAAGAGAUCAAUUAAGGUUACCUCAGUUUCCAGCCAAAGAUUGAGAGUUGGACUUGCAAUUCCUUUUUAUGAGCAUAGAACAAAGAACAGCACAGUGCAGUGCACUGUGUGGUCUAUGAGCAGAAUCUAUUGA